rnacentral:lncRNA from 1 species
AUUACGUCGUGUUGUAAAGGGAAUAUUAAGCUUCUCAAUGAUCAAAAUUGGUGUUUGUCAAACUGCUAUAUAACCAGUGUAAUUUUUCUGACAAAACGGUUGUUUCAAAUUUUUGAAUUUUUUAUAUUUUUGUUAAAGGGUCAAAGUAAAUACUUUGACAAAAUUUUAUGAAAAUUAAACGAGCCAAAUUAAUUUUAGUGAAAGUGUUGGGUACCACCUUAACC